CUAUUUGAAAUGUUUAGUGCCGAAUACAUCCUACCAUCUAUUUUCUCAAUAAAAAAAUUGUAAAAUGAUGAAUAUACCCUUACAUUUAAAUAAAAUAAAAAGAAAAAAAAAUCCUAGUUACAAUAAUGGUCCCAAAAGUUUCAAAAGAUUAUAAAUGAUCCCAUUUUUUUUUUUUAAAUAUCAAAACUAAAAAAAAAAAAAUUACUUCAUCUUCUCCCUCUUUUUCUCCCACCGCAACUAACACCACCACCAUUGUCGCCAUCACCCACCACCAACAAACAUCCAACAACAUGUCAUCGCACCGCCCACGAUGAUGGCCAUGGCCACGGCCACAACCGCCACCACAAUCACCCCAAACUACAGACUAGCCACAAACCAACAACACACAUAUGACUUCUGAAAGCUAUCUACAAAGCCAUAAAAAAUCAACCACAAACCAAAACAAGCCUCCAAUUCCAGAAUGUUUUCAUGCCUCUAUUGCACUUGUAAAAGAAGCUUACUUGUUGAAAACAUCAGAUAACGAAUCAAAAUUGAAAGGGUUCUCCAGGAAGAACUUUAAUUAUGUUGUCUUUUUGCGACGGUGAACCUCAUAGCUGGAGCUCUGGCCAUGGCAUCUCGGAGAAUUGCACAUAUGGCACCUCCAAAUGCAUAAAUGGCCUUGCAACCCCCUGUUGGUGCUCGCAACCAAGCAGCCAUCCGUGGUGGUUGUUGGCAUUGAGUAUUCGCAGCCAUUGAGCAAAAGCGGCCCUACAAUUCUUAUCGAAACUGGCAUUCGUAGCACUACCCCAAAAUUGAAUCAUAAUCGAAACCCUUCUAAUAGGAAUCCCUUAAGAGAUCUACCUACUAGCCUUUGGACCAUGUUUUUCAGAUUUUAGCUACUCUAAAG
rnacentral:lncRNA from 1 species